rnacentral:rRNA from 1 species
GGGUGAGUAAUAUAUCGGAACGUGCCCAGUCGUGGGGGAUAACGCAGCGAAAGCUGUGCUAAUACCGCAUACGAUCUCUGGAUGAAAGCGGGGGACUCGCAAGGGCCUCGCGCGAUUGGAGCGGCCGAUAUCAGAUUAGCUAGUUGGUGGGGUAAAAGCCCACCAAGGCGACGAUCUGUAGCUGGUCUGAGAGGACGACCAGCCACACUGGAACUGAGACACGGUCCAGACUCCUACGGGAGGCAGCAGUGGGGAAUUUUGGACAAUGGGCGCAAGCCUGAUCCAGCAAUGCCGCGUGCAGGAUGAAGGCCUUCGGGUUGUAAACUGCUUUUGUACGGAACGAAAAGGUCUGCCUUAAUACGGUGGGCUCAUGACGGUACCGUAAGAAUAAGCACCGGCUAACUACGUGCCAGCAGCCGCGGUAAUACGUAGGGUGCGAGCGUUAAUCGGAAUUACUGGGCGUAAAGCGUGCGCAGGCGGUUAUAUAAGACAGAUGUGAAAUCCCCGGGCUCAACCUGGGACCUGCAUUUGUGACUGUAUAGCUAGAGUACGGUAGAGGGGGAUGGAAUUCC